rnacentral:lncRNA from 1 species
CUAACUUUUUUGUAUUUAUUCAAUUAUUGUUGCACUUUUUGAAUCGCAAUGGCUAGUUUUUCCACAUAUGGAUAUACUGAUGUAAAUUUUGGCAAUUGUGAAGAGGUAGACGACAUUGUUGAAUGUUUGUCAGAAGAAUUUGAAAGCAAGAGUGCACAGAUUGUGAAUCUUUUAAACUAUAGGAGCCUGAAGACAGUGUUAAGAAGGGAGUCGUGGAAAACCUUACUGAUAUGAAAGUGUGUUUUACCAGAUUACGUAUUUUUGUCCAAUGCAAUAGAAAGUUCUGUGAAGAGAGAUUAAAGAAUCAGCACCUUGUAAACCAACCAACAAUUAAACCUAAACCCACAUAUGCAAAUGUGGUUAAAAAACCUUUGUAUAGACAUGAUGAUGAUACUGUAUUUAUAAGGGCUAAGGAUGACAAUCUCGAGGGCCUCGAUUUGGAAAAGGCAGUCCACGAGACAGUCGACGUAAAAACUAAAGAUUGGUGUGACUCAGAAUCGUUUCGUCAACAGGGACAAAGGGUAUAUGGUGAAAUGCUUCAACAGAACUAGUGCAGAUAAGCUGAAGGAUCAACUGAAUUCGUCUGGGUUUGUCGCCAGCAACCCGAGGAAGAGGAAUCACCGUAUAAUGUUACCAGUUGUUCCAGUUGAAUGGACAGCAGCAGAACUACUAAAUAAUAUAAAAGAGCAAUCUAGUAUUUCUUCGAAGGACUCGAACACACAUGUUCAUGGCUAAAUUUAGGUUCAAAUCCAGAGAAGGCGAAAAACUCUCCCCAUACAUAGUGGAGAUCACGCCCGAACUAAGAGAAUAUUUGCAUCAACAUGGAGAUAUUAUUUGCUUCGAAUGGAAACGUAUUAAGAUUAGAGACAUUUAUAAUGUGCGCAGAUGUAGUAACUGUUGGGCCUAUGGCCACACAAAACGAAAUUGUACUAAGACGAUUCCCACUU